rnacentral:lncRNA from 1 species
CUGGCGGGUCCCAUUGCAGCAGUGAGGCGUGGGGCGGUGGCCGAGUGCUCCUGUGGGUUUGCUGCUCCUGAAUCCAGCAUCUAGUUCUGAAUCUUGCUUUUGAGGGUGUGCAGUUCCUGGUGCGUCUGCCGGAGUGAUGUUGCAUGUUAAGUGAUGUUAUUUUCUUUUUCUUUUUUCCUCUGAAUUUUGUUUCUGUACAGGGCACAAUCGAUCAAUGAAAGAUGGGAAAAGAGUCAAUAUUCAUUGAUGGUAAAAUGUCGGUGCUCCUUCAAAAUGAGUUGUGGAAUAAAUGACUGACUGUGCCGGUGGCACCCCAGGGCCAGGGGAAGCGGAGUCCUGUGGACCAGCUCCAGCUGCUGCUGCGACCGGCUCUCGCGGCGGGGCCGGCUUCGGGGCGAAGCAGAGCAGAGGGCCGCCUUCCCCGACGUGUGCGCAGGAGCCGCCUGCCCUUGCUGGUGUCCGUGUCCCUGCGGGUGGGCACGGCGGGUCCCUCAGCUCCCUCCCUGCGCCCGGGAUGCCGGCACAGCCCGCGUGGACGCCGGCCGGCUGGGCAGCGCGCUCGUCUGCCGUUAGCCGUGGUAACCAGGUGAAAAACGUGGAAACGCCUCCAGCUUUCUCAUCUACCCGCUCGGGAGUUUAAGUAGGGCGCCAGGGCGAGUUUUUCGCUGGGUUGUUGGAAGGUCUCUGAUGAAACGCGGGAACCGUGUAGCUGUGCGGGGCCAGCCCGCACCGGUGCCACGGGAAUGGUCCGGCUUCGCCUCCGGGGCACGGGGGUCCCACCGCGAGGCCCCAGCCUGGGGGUGUGUGUGUGUGUGUGUGUGUGUGUGUCUUCCCGGUGCCCACACCACGAUGCUGCUGGUGCUGCUGGGGGCAGUCGCAGCCACCCCCGAGCCCCUGCCCGGGCUCUGCCGUCCUCUGCUGUGCUUUCUCCCGUGCGUUGGUGAGGGAAGAGCGUGGAGCAGUGCUGUCCGCGGGGGCAGAGGAGCGCCCAGGGAGCGGCGGCAGAAGAAUGAAAUGAAGUUGAAAGAAAAUGUCCUUUCCUCUGAAAAGAGAGCAGAAGAGUCUAGGCACCAGAAAGCCCUCCUGUUGGCUUCUUGUUGGAGGUCUUCCUCCUCUCUGAAACACUUCUUCAGAGUCCUGCAGUGCUCAAGGCACUGAGCUUUAAACAAGGGGAGCCAGGGCUGGACCAGCAGCAGAGCUACCCUGCGGCCACGCUUCACGCUGGCCUCGCGCCGGUGGACGGGGAGCUGCGGCAGGGCUGUGCCGGGGAGGCAGUGCUAGUGCCGUGGAUGAGCCAGCUCCCAAAGUGGUCCUCAAGCAUGUGCCGCCGCUGCUGCAGGCCAGAAGAUCCCGAACUGCAUGUUUCUGAUGUUAACAAGCUGCUUUCUCUGAUCUGGCAACGGUGCAUGUCAAUACAGGGAGGCUCCCAGACUUAGUCUUUCACUCCAGAGUUUACUUUGGCACUCUUUUUCCAGAAAUACAGAAUAUUAUUCCCUCCUUGUGCAUCUUUCCAGGAUCCAGUAGACUGCAAAUAKGGAAGCCUGUCGAUGGCCUCUUGCAGCGCGUGUCCCGGCAGGGCUGCUUGUGCUUGGAGGUGCAGCCCCAAGUCACUGCAGGUAUAGAAACUGCUCGCCAGUCAGGCGGUGUCCUAAACUUGUUCUGGACUCCAGCCAGCCCAGCUUAUGAUAUAGAAAAGCCCUUAGUACCUUCCAAAAUUAAAUAUAUUUUGGUGUAGUACCCUCUUUGUUUCCUAAAAGCUACCAAACUCGUUUUUGGGUAAAUUUCCCUGUCUCCUGACCAGCUUUCAGCAAAUUUCAGAUCUGCUCCUAAUUAGUGCCAUGUAAAUGUAGUAAAUGUAUCUUAGGAGUGGGACUGAUGAAACACAAUUUCUGUCAUUGUAGAAAUCCUGGUAUAUUGAUGUUUUGAAUGCAAGCAUGCAAAUUUAGACAACUUAGUUUUGUUCCACGGAUUUGCGUUGCAGGAAAAAGUUGAAAAAUCUGGGUCUGAGAAGCGGUGGGUAACUCGCGGGUGUCACGGCAUGGGUCCUUUGUGCUCCCGUCGUGUCCCAGGAGCUCUGCGCUCCGGCCGGAGCGUGGUGCCGGGCUGCCUGCGCUCCCUCUGCGCCCAGGAGUCCUGGCCCUGGCACAGCUGCAGCCCC